rnacentral:ncRNA from 2 species
ACAAGUGAAUCAGCAGACGGUAGCGAUUGCUUUCAUUGGGAAUGCGGUGAGAAUCCGCGGCAGCCCUCUCUACUGUAAGGAUGACAAGCGCCCAGAUAUGUCACUGUCCGGUACGCCGGAUGGGAAGGCGGGCGUGAGGAUGAGUCCAAGCCAGGAGACCAGCCGCCUGCGGUGUGUGCAC